GAGAGGGGAUGAGUGGCUGCCGGUGGAAAUCCGCUGAGGAAAGUCCUCCCACCAUCCGGAUAUAUGAGCGAGGAAACUCGCAUGGCGAGAGUCAUGGCUCUGGCACAGAAACGAUACGUCCCUACCCGUAUGAGAAUGAGGUGAAGAACCGACGAGCGUAGGGGGUGCGAUGGAACGGCGAAACCUCAUAGGUGCAAGCAAAAAAGGGUAAAUGAGCAACCCGGACGAUACCCAGGUAAGGCGCUAAGAUAAAUGCCACUUGAAACAGAAGGAGGCUUACAACCCCCACUC
rnacentral:RNase_P_RNA from 1 species